AUAGACGGUAGACGCUGAUCAGGCGCAAGAAAUCCGCCCGCUAAUUUCUGGAAAAGUCGAAGACAGGAGACCUUGGCAAGAUGGCCUCUGGUCACUUAAGUGGAUUAUCUGCUCGAGCUGAGGAAGCUGCUCUUGCCAUUGUGCAGCUCCUGGUAAAUGAGCUGUCCUCGCCCUCCACAAGCACAGCUCCACCUCAGAGCACGCCAGUCAGGGCAGCAGAGUCCCCCGUCCCUAGUGCUGCAACAAGUGGCAAUAGGGUGAAGCAGGCCAUGACAAGGCAAUUCCCUGGCAUUUUUGGUACCAAUCAGCCAAGGGGGAAAAAGAGAUUCUGCACACCCAGCCCCCAGACUGUGAAGAAGACAGAUUUCAAUGUUUAUGUCCUCCCUGAGCCGACACAGUUAAGCCCAAACGGUUCUGAGGAAUUAUAACUUGCCCAUGCAGGCCUUGGGAAAAGAAUGAUAACCAUGGCAGAAAACUUAAAACACGAUGAGUCUCGGCCGCUGUGCCUGAAGAUGCCGCCGGCUCCUCCUCAGGAGAGGGUGACUCCUCCGAGGCUUCGGGCUCUGAGGGGGAGAAAAGAUUAGCGUUCAAAAAAGUGCCCUGGCUUUUAAAAACAGCAUUUACCAUGAGAUACCUACUUUUUUUUAACUUAACCUUAAUUUAUAGUUAAUAGAGAAUCUGUUUUUGAAGGCGUCAAAACCUAACCCUAACCCUGAAAUACAGUAAAACCCUGCUAGCGAUGUUCUGAUGUUCAGCAUCUUCUUCAGUUUUGACAAAACUAGAUAAUUAAAGGAGUCAUCAUGUUGUUUUCACCCGUCUGUUCGUUUUGCAAAUUACACAACAACUGGAAAGGUAGAGACUAGGUGGAACUAGGCAGAUUGGGUCAGAGAAGAACCAAUUAGAUUUAGCUGCAGAUCUGGAUCAGGGCCAGAAUUAUCUUUCAAUUGACCACCAACAAUGGAAAAAACAGAUUUAUGAUAAUUUUCUUUAUGGUCUGUAUAAUUAUACAGCUGCAAUCUGAAAAAUGUAACCCCCAAAGAUUUUAAGGAUUUAUCAAUUACAGUUUUUUCAAAGAGCAAGAAUCUGCUUCAGAUGACUUUUUUAUGAGUUGAGUGAUACAUAAAAUCAACAGAAAAUGCAUGAUGUAGUAUUUGUAUGUAACAGUAUAUUUAGUUAAGAGCCAUGUCACAAUUAUUCAACCCCUAUAUAAUAUUGUUGUUUUUAAAGCUGUCUGACAGAUUUUAUGGCCUAAAGUGGAAUUGAAACAUAAUUAGGCCUUAGGAACUCUAUAAUGAUACUUAAUUUGCUUCAGCUGUGAUGAAUUUUGUAUUUAAAAUAUAGAAAAUA